CAAAAAACAAAAGAUCAAAUGGAAGCAGAAAGACUGACAGAUAUGUUGAUCUUUGCUCUUUGGUUGUUUUUCGCAGUUUGUAUUCCCUGUGUCUUUGCUCUC
rnacentral:ribozyme from 13 species